GACGAACGCUGGCGGCGUGCUUAACACAUGCAAGUCGAACGGAAAGGCCCUGCUUGCCGGGUACUCGAGUGGCGAACGGGUGAGUAACACGUGGGUGAUCUGCCCUGCACUUCGGGAUAAGCCUGGGAAACUGGGUCUAAUACCGGAUAGGAGCCAUUUUUAGUGUGAUGGUUGGAAAGUUUUUUCGGUGUAGGAUGAGCUCGCGGCCUAACAGCUUGUUGGUGGGGUAAUGGCCUACCAAGGCGGCGACGGGUAGCCGGCCUGAGGGGGUGGACGGCCACAUUGGGACUGAGAUACGGCCCAGGCUCCUACGGGAGGAAGGAGUGGGGAAUAUUGCACAAUGGGCGCAAGCCGGAUGCAGCGAGGCCGCGUGGGGGAAGACGGCCUUCGGGUUGGAAAAUCCUUUCGCUAGGGACGAAGCUUUUUGUGACGGUACCUAGAGAAGAAGCACCGGCUAACUACGUG
rnacentral:rRNA from 1 species